GCCAGACAUGGUGGACCAUGUCUGUAGUCCCAGCUAUUCAGGAAGGCUGAGGUGGGAGGAUCACCUGAGCCUGGGAGUUCAAUGCUGCAGUGAGCCACGAUCGUGCCACUGCACUCCAUCUUGGACAACAGAGUGAGACUGUCUCAAAAAGUAAAAUAAGUGCACGGGCACGGUGGCUAAAGCCUGUAAUCCCAGCACUUUGGGAGGCCGAGGCAGGUGGAUCACGAUGUCAGGAGAUGGAGACCAUCCUGGCUAACACGGUGAAACCCCAUCUCU
rnacentral:sRNA from 1 species